AGCGAACGCUGGCGGCAGGCUUAACACAUGCAAGUCGAGCGGGCAUCCUUGUGGUGUCAGCGGCAGACGGGUGAGUAACGCGUGGGAACGUGCCCUUCGGUUCGGAAUAACUCAGGGAAACUUGAGCUAAUACCGGAUACGUGCGAGAGCAGAAAGGUUUAUCUGCCGAAGGAUCGGCCCGCGUCUGAUUAGCUAGUUGGUGAGGUUAUGGCUCACCAAGGCGACGAUCAGUAGCUGGUCUGAGAGGAUGUUCAGCCACACUGGGACUGAGACACGGCCCAGACUCCUACGGGAGGCAGCAGUGGGGAAUAUUGGACAAUGGGGGCAACCCUGAUCCAGCCAUGCCGCGUGAGUGAUGACGGCCUUAGGGUUGUAAAGCUCUUUUCUCCGGGACGAUAAUGACGGUACCGGAGGAAUAAGCCCCGGCUAACUUCGUG
rnacentral:rRNA from 1 species